rnacentral:rRNA from 1 species
GACGAACGCUGGCGGCGCGCCUAACACAUGCAAGUCGAACGGGAUCCGCGUGCUCGGCACUGAGCGCGAAGAGUCGGUGAAACAAGUAGCCGACAGCGUCAUGCGAGAGGAAGGUAUUACGCUGCGACCUAAGUUGAUAGUAGAAGGAUAAUUUGGGAGCAGGGGCGAUGUAAGAACCGAAACUCGAGCAUCACGCUUUUCCUAAGUGAAUAGCACAUGCAAAAACUUAGGGCGCUGAGUGUUGAGCACGCGGUGAGAGUGGCGGACGGGCGAGUAACGCGUGAGCAACCAACCUUGCACUGGGGGAUAACGUCGGGAAACCGGCGCUAAUACCGCAUGACAUUACUGGAUCGCAUGGUCUUGUAAUCAAAGCUCCGGCGGUGCGAGACGGGCUCGCGUCCAAUUAGCUGGUUGGCGGGGUAAAGGCCCACCAAGGCGACGAUUGGUAGCCGAACUGAGAGGUUGAUCGGCCGCAUUGGGACUGAGACACC